CACUAACUACUUCUGUAAUAAACACAACUGUUCAACAUGACUUAUAGCCCCAUCAGGGCAGUACCCAGGCUUGGAGUUUUAGUAAGAUCUGGAAGGGGGUAGCUGUGGAGUCAUUCUCCGAGUCGUUUCUUUGUUUGUUUGGGGGAUGUCUGUAGACACGGCAGGCGUCGUGGGAUGUUUUAAAAAUUGCCUUUUGCAAACACACUGUCAGCAGCGUGUCUAGUAGACUAGUUGAGUUCAGAGCCGACUUAGAGCUGGGCUAGUUCAUGUCACGUCUCAGGCCCUCAUCCUGUUCACCGAGUGGCCGGAGAUAGCCGUUUGAGAGGGGGGUGAAUGUGCUGCUAAAAAGGCAAAUCCAGGGGAGGCAGGUGAACAUAACGAACAAACCACUGUUCAUGAUUCCACUCGUUCACAAAGAGGCAGGUGAACAUAACGAACAAACCACUGUUCAUGAUUCCACUCGUUCACAAAGAGGCAGGUGAACAUAACGAACAAACCACUGUUCAUGAUUCCACUCGUUCACAAAGAGGCAGGCGAACAUAACGAACAAACCACUGUUCAUGAUUCCACUCGUUCACAAAGAGGCAGGUGAACAUAACGAACAAACCACUGUUCAUGAUUCCACUCGUUCACAAAGAGGCAGGUGAACAUAACGAACAAACCACUGUUCAUGAUUCCACUCGUUCACAAAGAGGCAGGUGAACAUAACGAACAAACCACUGUUCAUGAUUCCACUCGUUCACAAAGAGGCAGGUGAACAUAACGAACAAACCACUGUUCAUGAUUCCACUCGUUCACAAAGAGGCAGGUGAACAUAACGAACAAACCACUGUUCAUGAUUCCACUCGUUCACAAAGAGGCAGGUGAACAUAACGAACAAACCACUGUUCAUGAUUCCACUCGUUCACAAAGAGGCAGGUGAACAUAACGAACAAACCACUGUUCAUGAUUCCACUCGUUCACAAAGAGGCAGGUGAACAUAACGAACAAACCACUGUUCAUGAUUCCACUCGUUCACAAAGAGGCAGGUGAACAUAACGAACAAACCACUGUUCAUGAUUCCACUCGUUCACAAAGAGGCAGGUGAACAUAACGAACAAACCACUGUUCAUGAUUCCACUCGUUCACAAAGAGGCAGGUGAACAUAACGAACAAACCACUGUUCAUGAUUCCACUCGUUCACAAAGAGGCAGGUGAACAUAACGAACAAACCACUGUUCAUGAUUCCACUCGUUCACAAAGAGGCAGGUGAACAUAACGAACAAACCACUGUUCAUGAUUCCACUCGUUCACAAAGAGGCAGGUGAACAUAACGAACAAACCACUGUUCAUGAUUCCACUCGUUCACAAAGAGGCAGGUGAACAUAACGAACAAACCACUGUUCAUGAUUCCACUCCUUCACAAAGAGGCAGGUGAACAUAACGAACAAACCACUGUUCAUGAUUCCACUCCUUCACAAAGAGGCAGGUGAACAUAACGAACAAACCACUGUUCAUGAUUCCACUCGUUCACAAAGAGGCAGGUGAACAUAACGAACAAACCACUGUUCAUGAUUCCACUCGUUCACAAAGAGGCAGGUGAACAUAACGAACAAACCACUGUUCAUGAUUCCACUCGUUCACAAAGAGGCAGG